AACCCAUGGUGAGGGCACCUUCUCAAUAAAUCUUUAUACCUCUCCCAUGCAUCAUAUAGAGUCUCUAAGUCAAUCUCAACGAAGGAAGAGAUAUCAUUCCUCAACUU
rfam:Gossypium hirsutum cultivar TM-1 scaffold4067.1_1, whole genome shotgun sequence